UGAGUAACCUGCCCUUAACUCUGGGAUAAGCCUGGGAAACUGGGUCUAAUACCGGAUAUGACUCCUCAUCGCAUGGGUGGGGGGUGGAAAGCUUUAUUGUGGUUUUGGAUGGACUCGCGGCCUAUCAGCUUGUUGGUGAGGUAAUGGCUCACCAAGGCGACGACGGGUAGCCGGCCUGAGAGGGUGACCCGGCCACACUGGGACUGAGACACGGCCCAGACCUCCGUACGGGAGCAG
rnacentral:rRNA from 1 species